GUGGGGAAUCUUCCGCAAUGGACGAAAGUCUGACGGAGCAACGCCGCGUGAGUGAUGACGGCCUUCGGGUUGUAAAGCUCUGUGAUCGGGGACGAAUGGCUGGUAUGCUAAUACCAUAUCAGAGUGACGGUACCCGAAUAGCAAGCCACGGCUAACUACGUGCCAGCAGCCGCGGUAAUACGUAGGUGGCAAGCGUUGUCCGGAAUUAUUGGGCGUAAAGCGCGCGCAGGCGGCUUCUUAAGUCCAUCUUAAAAGUGCGGGGCUUAACCCCGUGAUGGGAUGGAAACUGGGAGGCUGGAGUUUCAGAGAGGAAAGUGGAAAUCCUAGUGUAGCGGUGAAAUGCGUAGAGAUGAGGAAGAACACCGGUGGCGAAGGCGACUUUCUGGACGACAACUGACGCUGAGGCGCGAAAGCGUGGGGAGCAAACAGGAUUAGAAACCCGUGUAGUCC
rnacentral:rRNA from 1 species